rnacentral:lncRNA from 1 species
CAGAGGGAAAGCGUUGUUCUUGUUGAGGGCGCUGAAGGGUUUUCGGUACUUCUUCUCCUCCUCCUCCUCUUCAUGUUGCCUCUUCUGCUUUGCCAGUUCAAGCAUCAAAACGCAUCCAUUUGCAAAGCUUCUCUCGGAAUCACUAUAAACACGCAAGCCUUGGCUUUCUAAACUCAUAAAGGUGAUGAACGCACCGAUAAUGGGUAAGCCUCUCUUUCCCGCUCUUGAUAGUUCACUUCGAAUUGAAGAAUUUGCUUUUUAUUUUCCUUGAAUGGGUUUUGGAAUAAAAUCAAAUUAAAGUAUGCAAUUCAUUAAUUAUAAAUUGUAUUUGGGGAAGACCCAUUGCCAGGAGAUUUCCCAGAAGUGUAGAGGAGUAUUUGGAACAUGGGGUUAUGAAAUGCAUUGCCAUCCCCAUAAGAUGUUUUUUCAAAACUUUUUUUUCCAUUAGAAAUUAAGUGCUUUGGGCAAUGUGGCUAUGUGGUAUUUCGAAAGUUGUGAUUUUCUGUUUAGAUUUCUUUUAGUUUUGUCCUGCUGUUUAUUAUGGGGUCCUUUUUGCUGAAUUAAUUGCUUAUCAAAAUUAAAAGGAAGGCUGUAAAUUUGGUUGCACAUUGGGGUAUAGAAACACCAUUGCCAGUUUAUACAGCACUCACUUGUUCUUCUUCCACAAUUUGUACUUUUGAAACUAAUAUAUAAGGAGUUGAAUCCACAAUUUGUAACAAAGUGGAAUUGCUAGCUAUUCCAGAAAAAUUAAAGAAUAGGUCAAUUAGUUGGAAUUUUUUUACGGUUUCGUUUUCAGUUAGGUCUCUGCGUUAAUACCCUACAUGAGCCUUACUUUUAACUAAUUGGUUCUUUAAUUUCUCCUUUACACUUUUAUUGAAGAACACAUAAACUACGGGCAUUUCUUAUUAAUCGUCUUGCUAGCCAAGGAUAUAAACGAAACCCCAUUUACAUAGAUUUCUCCUGGAGAUAGGUAGGUUUGACAUAUCUGUAAUCAAAUGAGAAAAAGAUAUUGGCCGGGCUUAGUUCAUGGUUUUUCCAGAGGACCAUAAGCUGUAGGAAGCAGAAGCCCCAAGUGCCAGAAGAACAAGAACAGCUGCUCCCAUAUUGAUCAACAUCUGCUUCUCUUCAUCAUUCACCCCCUCUCCUAGAUUUCUCAUGCCCUCCUUUGCAGCAGCCAUCACAUUUGCAGCAAUGGAAUCCUCCUCUGUAUGCUUCUCUCGGUCAACAGCGCUCCCAGAACUCUUGCUCUUUCUCUUUGCCUUUUCUAAAAUCUUUGGGACAGCCCCUGCUUCUUUGCUUCUCUCAUUGGCCUCUCUUUCCUUCUGCAGACUGGUUUCAGCAACUCUCUCAGCAUUCUUUGGUUCUGCAGGCUUCCCACUCUGACCCUUUGGAUCAACAUGCUCAGCAGUAAACUCCAAGCUCUUUUCGUCAAUUAUUUUUGGAGGAAUUUCAUCCUUACCCCUUUGUGACUUAGGUUCACUUAUGCCUCCUUCAGGACUAGUCAAAGGUAUCACCCUCUUCUCAUCCCUUUGUUUCUCAUUCUGGAUUGCUGAAAUUGCUUUUGGAAGAGCCUCAUCCUUAUCCUUGUGUACUUUUGUCUCAGCAACGCUUUUCGGAAGGCCUAAUGGAUGACCACCAUUCUUGUCAUCCCUUUCUUUUUCAUCUCUGGCACUAAAAGUAGAGUUUUGUGCCUUUGGCUCAGCAGCAGCUUCCUGGGGGCCUGCAGCUGGAGGAGCACUUCUCUUAUCCCUUUGCUUUUCAUCUUGAGCAGCAGAGGUAGCUGCUUGUGAAAUGACUUCCUGACCCUUUUGUGCCUUUGGCUCAGAAGAGCUAAUUUUCUGAGGGCCUGCAGUUGCUGUCAAACCAGGUUUUGACGGAAUUAGGUCCUCUGGCAGUUUCGGUGGCUUUGCCUCAGCAGCAGAAGCAGUUGGAGUUUUUGAAGAGGUAGGUGGUGCUUGUUGGCUUGGUUUGGCUGCUUCUUUAGGGCCUACUUGAGUGAUGCCUAGCUUUGGUAUUGUAAUGGUAAGAAUUUGAUUGUUGAAUUUGCCAUGAAUUUUACUCACGUCGCAAUUUUCUUGAAUAGGGAAGGUUUGGUUGAAACGGCUCCAUUUGUUAUUCCCAAGAGGCCGUUGUCCAUCAACCUUAAUUACACCAGGGGAAGCCGCAAAUGUAAUCCUUACUUGCUCCUUCACAAAACCUGAAAACACAAACAAAUUGAAAGUGACAUAUAACGUAACAUGUAUAGGAAUUUUAUGCUAGUAGCUUCGCAAAAUUAUAGGUUCCUCUUUAAAAUACAAAAUUCUCCUAUAAUCUUACAUCUUGUGGGUGCAUCUAAAUUCUUCUUUAUGAAUGUAUCUGAAUCAAUAUGAAUCAAACAAGUGUUCCAACGUAACAAAGUACACACAAAAGCAUUGAAACAUUUUUCGCUAUUAGCUUUUGGAAACUUAACUUUUUGAACUUCUGCUAGUUUUGACAAAAACCUGUUUUUUUUUUUUUUUUUUUCACAAGGCAAUAUUCUAAACUACUUUAAUGUAUUGGGAGGGGGAUCUAACUUGGUUUAGGGGGCGGGAACGUUACCUUUUCCAACUGACCUAACCCAUAUCUACCCAUGAAUAUUGUGUAUUCUUAUUUACAAAAUGAGUGAUAAAGUUGGGUAAAGUACAGACCAGGCAGAUGAACAUGUAUAACGUGAGCUUCCUGCUCUUCCUUCAAUUCAAAGUGGGGCUUGAACUCUUCAUAAAUUGAACGAGACGAUAGUCUUGGACGGGUACUAGAGAUUCCACCAAAACGUUGCCUCAUUGCCAUCUCUCUCUCUCUCUCUCUCUCUCUCUCUCUCUCUCUUGCCUUUUGUUGAUUUGAUUUUCUUGUAUACCUUAUGAUUGCCUUUGGAUUGUAGAAAAAUGUUGGCCAUGUGUCACAUUUUAUAUAUGCAACAAUGUUUGAGACUAGUGUGUUGAUUGUUU